AUUGAACGCUGGCGGCAGGCCUAACACAUGCAAGUCGAGCGGAUGAAGGGAGCUUGCUCCUGGAUUCAGCGGCGGACGGGUGAGUAAUGCCUAGGAAUCUGCCUGGUAGUGGGGGAUAACGUCCGGAAACGGGCGCUAAUACCGCAUACGUCCUGAGGGAGAAAGUGGGGGAUCUUCGGACCUCACGCUAUCAGAUGAGCCUAGGUCUGAUUAGCUAGUUGGUGGGGUAAAGGCCUACCAAGGCGACGUUCCGUAACUGGUAUGUGAGGAUGAUCAGUCACACUGGUACUGAGACACGGUCCAGACUCCUACGGGAGGCAGCAGUGGGGAAUAUUGGACAAUGGGCGAAAGCCUGAUCCAGCCAUGCCGCGUGUGUGAAGAAGGUCUUCGGAUUGUAAAGCACUUUAAGUUGGGAGGAAGGGCAGUAAGUUAAUACCUUGCUGUUUUGACGUUACCAACAGAAUAAGCACCGGCUAACUUCGUG
rnacentral:rRNA from 1 species